AUGUGCUUGUCCAUCCUUCCUCGACGGAUCAGCGCCGGAUCGAGCUUGUCCUUGUGGUUGGUAGUGAAGAUGAUGAUCCGCUCACCCCCGCAAGCAGACCAAAGUCCAUCAAUGAAGUUGAGGAGGCCCGAGAGCGUCACCGGUAGCUUGGGUUUGUCAUCAUCGUCGGAGUCCUUGUCACUAGAGGCCUUCUUGUCCUUGCGGCGUUUUCCGGUGAGGUCGAUGGAGCAGUCGAUGUCCUCUAUGACGAUGAUGGACUUGCCCGUGGUCUCGAUGAAGAGCUUCCGCAGCUCGGUGUUGUUCUUGACAGCUGUGAGCUCGAGAUCGUAG
rnacentral:rRNA from 1 species